CCGCGACCCCGCGUGACGGUUC
rnacentral:miRNA from 1 species